UCACAAACUAAUGCCACAACACAAGUAAAACAUAUAUAUACAAAUUAACCUCUUCCCGCAUACAAACUAAUAUAUGUAUAGAGUUGAACUGGGCUACUAUUAGUAGCAAAAUUUCAUUGUUGCUUACCAAUUUUUUAGUCUUUGGAUCAACUCUUUUCAUUAUUUCUAACCAUUGGAUUAAAUAUUAUAAUCCAGUGAGGACCACUCAACCCUAGGGGGACCACUCAACUCUAACCGACUACUAUCAUCCUGACCCUACAAUUUUUCAUCCAAGGGUUAAAAACUUGAUAGCAAAAAAAGCGUUUUACUAUUAAUAGUAUUCCAGUCUAAUUCUCUCUCUCUCUCUCUCUCUCUCUCUCUCUCUCUCUCUCUCUCUAUAUAUAUAUAUAUAUAUAUAUAUAUAU
rnacentral:lncRNA from 1 species